rnacentral:rRNA from 1 species
UACGUAGGGCGCAAGCGUUGUCCGGAAUUAUUGGGCGUAAAGAGCUCGUAGGCGGCUUGUCACGUCGGGUGUGAAAGCCCGGGGCUUAACUCCGGGUCUGCAUUCGAUACGGGCUAGCUAGAGUGCGGUAGGGGAGACUGGAAUUCCUGGUGUAGCGGUGAAAUGCGCAGAUAUCAGGAGGAACACCGGUGGCGAAGGCGGGUCUCUGGGCCGAUACUGACGCUGAGGAGCGAAAGCGUGGGGAGCGAACAGG